AGAGAGAGAGAGAGAGAGGAAGAGGUGUUUGAGAGAGGGAGAGAGAGAGAGAGGAAGAGGUGUUUGAGAGAGGGAGAGAGAGAGAGGAAGAGGUGUUUGAGAGAGGGAGAGAGAGGAAGAGGUGUUUGAGAGAGAGAGGAAGAGGUGUUUGAGAGAGGGAGAGAGAGAGAAAGGAAGAGGUGUUUGAGAGAGGGAGAGAGAGAGGAAGAGGUGUUUGAGAGAGGAGAGAGAGAGAGGAAGAGGUGUUUGAGAGAGGGAGAGAGAGAGAGGAAGAGGUGUUUGAGAGAGGGAGAGAGAGAGAGAAAGGAAGAGGUGUUUGAGAGAGGGAGAGAGAGAGAGAGAGAAAGGAAGAGGUGUUAGAGAGGGAGAGAGAGAGAG